rnacentral:rRNA from 1 species
CUGGCGGCGUGCUUAACACAUGCAAGUCGAACGAAGCACUCUUUUAGAUUUCCUUCGGGGAAGAAGAAAUUGUGACUGAGUGGCGGACGGGUGAGUAACGCGUGGGCAACCUGCCCCAUACAGGGGGAUAACAGCCGGAAACGGCUGCUAAAACCGCAUAAGCGCACAAGGGCCGCAUGGCCUGGUGUGAAAAACUCCGGUGGUAUGGGAUGGGCCCGCGUCUGAUUAGCUAGUUGGCGGGGGAGAGGCCCACCAAGGCGACGAUCAGUAGCCGACCUGAGAGGGUGGCCGGCCACAUUGGGACUGAGACACGGCCCAAACUCCUACGGGAGGCAGCAGUGGGGAAUAUUGCACAAUGGGGGAAACCCUGAUGCAGCGACGCCGCGUGAGCGAAGAAGUAUUUCGGUAUGUAAAGCUCUAUCAGCAGGGAAGAAAAAUGACGGUACCUGAGUAAGAAGCACCGGCUAAAUACGUGCCAGCAGCCGCGGUAAUACGUAUGGUGCAAGCGUUAUCCGGAUUUACUGGGUGUAAAGGGAGCGCAGGCGGUGCGGCAAGUCUGAUGUGAAAGCCCGGGGCUCAACCCCGGGACUGCAUUGGAAACUACCGAACUAGAGUGUCGGAGAGGUAAGUGGAAUUCCUAGUGUAGCGGUGAAAUGCGUAGAUAUUAGGAGGAACACCAGUGGCGAAGGCGGCUUACUGGACGAUAACUGACGCUGAGGCUCGAAAGCGUGGGGAGCAAACAGGAUUAGAUACCCUGGUAGUCCACGCCGUAA